rnacentral:lncRNA from 1 species
GAUUCCUACCGCAAGCAGCCUGAAUGCAAGGACGUUUUCGUUGAUUUCUUUUUUCUCCCCCAACAACAUACGGGAGAUCUUUCCAACUGCCGAUCAUCUCUGCAUGGGGAAUCUCAAAAAUUUUGAAAGCUAGCCGUAAAAGGAAUGCAAACAAAGAAAAAAGAAAAAAAAAGAAAAUCUCUCUGUAUGUCUUCCUGCUUUAUAAAACUAAGGCAUGAAUGUGGAGUUCAUGUCCAUCUGGCUGUCCUGACCUCCCAACCCCUGAAAGCAUCCCUACAUCAUAUCCUGCUUAUUGUCAAAGAUUAAUGUGGUCAAAUAAAAAGGGCACUGGACUGGAAGCCACGGGGAUGCCAAGAGGUUCUAUCUUAUCUGAGCCUUGGUCUCCUCAUCUGGGAAAUGAAGAUGUUGCCAUAAAUGAUCUCCUCUAGUGCCCUUCUGUGGCUUCACCAUUUGCUUACCACUCCGAGACAUCUUUUCUAGCCAGGCAACAGAGAAAACAAGGGGAAGCAAUCAGACACCAGUAAGGAUAAGCAGACUCGAAAACACAAAAGUCAGAGACAACAGUACAGGACGAGAGUUAUACCCAGGGGAUAGGGGACAUGUGGAGGUCUACUUUCAUAUCUCUCUUCUCAACAGUGGUCAAGAUGGACUUGGAGAACAGUCAUACAGCAUCAUAUGACCCCCACACCAGUCCUAGAGUAUUCUCACAGCUAACCCGGUAUUCAGCAUCACCUGGUAGGUGAUUACAGUUCGCAGGAAGAAUUAUGUCCUUGCUUAAUGCUUUUGGUGUGACCCAUUUCCCAUGACAAAGCAAAGAUCUUUCCUCUUCUCACUUUCCCAUAUGGGGAUAACAUUAAAGUAGUAUUACGACAAGUCAGCACCUAUGCAAGUUAUAGUUAAUAAAGCACCCUGAGAAGUAAAUCCAAGAUCCAAGAUCAAGAGAGAUCAAGGAGAAGGAAAAUACUUUUUUACCUAUUGUCAAGGCUAGCUAACAUUAAUGAUUAAAAUAUUGUGCUCUUUAUUCUCGGAUUUCAACAACACUUGAGUCUCAUGGUGGAAGCCUCAGGCAUUAAAUUGAAGAGAACACUGAUUGUUAGAACAAGAAAACAUCUAAGCAUCUAUUAGUUCAGCCUUCCGUGAAAAGUCGGAAUUCCUUCAAUGAAACUCUCAUGUAUGCCUAUCUAGCUUCUCCCUGAUAAUAACAACAAUAAUAAUGGUGAUAACUGUAAUGAAAAUAAUGAAAGCACUAUUUCACACUUACUAUGUCACCAGACCUGUGCCAGUAUAUUGAACACUGAUUGCAAACCCGCACCUCUCCUAACAUUAACUUAUUGAAUGCUUACAAUGCCACCUCUAAUUUUAUCAAAUGAGUCAACUGAAUUCUACAAGAAAGGGUUAAGUAACUUGUAAUAAGUCACACAUCUAGCUAGGAGCUAGGGAAUUUAACUAAACAGACUAGUUCUGGAACCUGUCCCUUUAACCCUAUGCUACCAGAUGGGACGGGGAGAGAGACAAGGUAAACAUAGAGUUUGUUUCAACUCUUCUUAAUUGAAAGAUCUUUUGUUUUCUAAGGCAAACAUGCCUCCUUUCUUCAUUUGAUUCGCAAGCCUUGCACAGGAUAAUUAUUAUUCUUUCUUCAGUUUGAUCAUCUUAUAUCAGGGCUUGGCAAAACAGUGUCUGUUCUCAUGUGGCUCAUGAGCCAGGGAUGGAUUUAAAAUUUUCAGAUCAUAUAAAAAAUCAAAAGAAGAGUAAUACGCACAUGAAAAUCAUCUGAAAUUCAAACCUCCAUCCAUAAGUAAAAUUUUAUUGGAACACAACCACACACUUCUUCGUUUAUGUAUUGUCUCUGUCUAUGACUGCUUCCACCCUACUACAAGGUCAGAACUGAGCACUGACAACAAGGACCAUUUGGCCCAGCAAAGACUAAAACAUUUACUAACUCAUCCAUUAUGAAAAAUGUUUGCUGCCCCUUACUUUCAAUAUUUAAAUGUGUUUCUCAUGUCCUUUCUUCGAUGCUCUCUUUUAUGGUAACUAUCUCAAAUCCUCCUCCCUCUCCUCAGCUCACAGCAACCUAAGAACUGUUCUCUGGAGUUUCUUUGGAAUCACAUAUUUCACCCCUCUCAAAGUAAACCAUGGAAUACUACUCAGCAAUUAAAAGGAAUAAACUACCCAGACAUCCAACAACAAGGAUGAAUCUCCAAAGCAUUAUGCUAAGUGAAAAAGCCUUCCCCAAAGCAUUCUUGUGGUAUGAUGAUAUGUAUAAGAAAUUCUAAAGCAGACAAAACUCACCUACAGUGAAAAUAACAUCAGAACAAUGGUUGUCUAUGGGAGAGUAGAGGAGGAAUUAGCUAAGAUGGAGAUUUAAACUUUGAGAUUUUGGAAAUAUUGCAAAUCUUGGCAAUAGUUCCAGUUACAUAAUGAUAUAUAUUUGCCAAAAUAAAGAUACCCUUACAAUUUUUACAUGACACGGCAUCUGUCUCCAGAAAAAAAAGGAAAAAAAAAAAAAA